CGCAUAAUAUACCGAGACGGCAUCGUCAUAGUAUCAAAGGAGCAAUCCGCUGAAAGAUGGGCUCGCGGCCGAUUAGCUAGUUGGUGAGGUAAAGGCCCACCAAGGCGACGAUCGGUAGCCGGACUGAGAGGUUGAACGGCCACAUUGGGACUGAGACACGGCCCA
rnacentral:rRNA from 1 species